AGCGAACGCUGGCGGCAGGCCUAACACAUGCAAGUCGAACGAACCUUUCGGGGUUAGUGGCGGACGGGUGAGUAACACGUUAGAACGUGCCUUUAGUUUCGGCAUAACUCAGGGAAACUUGUGCUAAUACCGAAUGUGCCCUUCGGGGGCAAGAUUACUCGCCUUUAGAGCCGCCCGCGGCUGAUUAGCUAGUUGGUUGACGUAAUGGCUCAGCAAGGCGACGGUCAGUAGCUGGGCGGAGAGGAUGAUCAGCCACAUUGGGACUGAGACACGGCCCAAACUCCUACGGGAGGGAGCAGUGGGGAAUCUUGCGCAAUGGGCGAAAGCGUGACGCAGCCAUGCCGGGGGAAUGAUGAAGGGCUUAGGAUUGUAAAAUUCUUUCGCCGGGGACGAUAAUGACGGUACCCGGAGAAGAAGCCCCGGCUAACUUCGUG
rnacentral:rRNA from 1 species